GGGGAUUUAGCUCAGCGGUAGGGCGCUUGCCUAGCAAGCACAAGGCCCUGGGUUCGGUCCCCAGCUCCG
rnacentral:tRNA from 1 species